rnacentral:rRNA from 1 species
CACACCGUAAACGAUGGAUACUAGGUAUCGGCUGGAUGGCUGUCGGUGCCGAAGUUAACGCAUUAAGUAUCCCACCUGGGGAGUACGACCGCAAGGUUAAAACUCAAAGGAAUUGACGGGGGCCCGCACAAGCAGUGGAGUAUGUGGUUUAAUUCGACGCAACGCGAAGAACCUUACCAGGGCUUGACAUGUACAUGACCGGUAUAGAGAUAUACCCUUUUCUUCGGAAACAUGUAUACAGGUGG